GUCUCUGUGGCACAUACGGUUAGCGCGUUCGGCUGUUAAUUGAAAGGUUGGUGGUUUAAGCCCACCCAGGGACG
rnacentral:tRNA from 1 species